GAUGAACGCUGGCGGCGUGCCUAAUACAUGCAAGUCGAGCGAACAGACGAGGAGCUUGCUCCUUUGACGUUAGCGGCGGACGGGUGAGUAACACGUGGGUAACCUACCUAUAAGACUGGGAUAACUUCGGGAAACCGGAGCUAAUACCGGAUAAUAUUUCGAACCGCAUGGUUCGAUAGUGAAAGAUGGCUCUGCUAUCACUUAUAGAUGGACCUGCGCCGUAUUAGCUAGUUGGUAAGGUAACGGCUUACCAAGGCAACGAUACGUAGCCGACCUGAGAGGGUGAUCGGCCACACUGGAACUGAGACACGGUCCAUACUCCUACGGGAGGCAGCAGUAGGGAAUCUUCCGCAAUGGGCGAAAGCCUGGCGGAACAACGCCGCGUGAGUGAUGAAGGUCUUCGGAUCGUAAAACUCUGUUAUUAGGGAAGAACAAACGUGUAAGUAACUGUGCACGUCUUGACGGUACCUAAUCAGAAAGCCACGGCUAACUACGUG
rnacentral:rRNA from 1 species